rnacentral:lncRNA from 1 species
UUCUCAAAAACAUUUGGGUUCGUUUUGAGUUUUGACCAUGGGGUUAUCCACUCCGGGAGAAACCACUCUAGGCAUUACAGGUCUGCUCUCUCUCUCUCUCUCUCUCUCUGCUUGCAUUCAGUCUAUUUUCCUAUGAAAUCAAUUUUGUUGUCCCGUGAAAUCUGAAUAUUAAUGUUCGGUUGUUCCAAAUCGCAGGUUUAUCUGAAGAAUUUAAUGAGAUCGGUAUAACAUUGAUUAUGUUGGUGUGAGAGGAAGGGGGAGCUCGGUGGUUGUUAGGGCCCGAUCGGCGGCUGGUCGUGGCCGUUCUCUAGGUCGCGGUCGCGGAAGAAGGGGAAGAUCUCGAUAAAACCGCUGCCUUCGCCGGAGAUGAAUCAUCCGGUAAAACCCGCCACCAUACCACCACCCCGACCCGACCCGGCUGGCGGAGAACCGGAAUCCGGCAGGCGGGCGGACGGUUGGGGGAGCUGUGAGCGACAGGGAAGGAGAGAGUUUGUGAGAGUUGGACUGCUGCAAUCAAAACAGGUUGUGAGGGUUCCUUGGCGGAAGGAAUCGCCCUCUGGAGAGAGUUUGUACUGCCCUCUGGGAAGGAGAGAGUUUGUGAGAGUUGGACUGCUGCAAUCAAAACAGGCUGUGAGGGUUCCUUGGCGGAAGGAAUCACCAGAGGGCGAUCACGAAUCGGAGGGCGAAAAUUUGAAUGCCUUAACAAUUAUUGUAAAGAUGAUCUAUUUAUAUAUAGCUACAAAGGCUACAAUGUCAACAAGAUAGAGAAAAUAUAAUAUAAAAGUGAGUCAAUUAAGAAAAUUCGUAUAUUUUGAAUAAAUAAAAAUAUUUAGACCUAAUAAUAAUUGUGUAUGUAUAUAUAUAUACAUGCUCGUGUCCGUUUAGAGGCGGACAUCAGCACAAUCUCUAAGUGCGGAUGUCUUUGAUUUCUCCAUCUUCAGGCGUCGAUGACUGCGUUUCUCUUGCCGGAUGAACAGUAGAGGCUUCUGGGACGGCGUUGACAUGAAAAAGAAGGUCAAGGAGAUCGGAAUCGGAGCUCUGGGCAACAACCUCACUGAAAAUUUCAAGACUGAUCAAGGUUAGCUGCAAACUUGUUGCCUGCGAGUCCACCGGCAAAAGGAAUAAGCUCACAUCAUUAGAUCUGUUUUUUAAUGCGCUUGUAUUGCUGUGAUUAAAAUAAAUAAAAACUUAACACUUAUGUCAAACCUACACCGUUCAAGAUCAUUAAAAAUAAAUCAAACAUUUAGAUGACUUAACGAACACCAAAUUUACAUAAGUGAUAUACUUAUAUACACCUACAAACUAAACGGUGAAGAUGUGAUUUAGUGAUCGGAAAGUUUGUCAAAUAUCCUAUCCCUAGAAAUAAACAAAAAAUAGAUCCCUCAUUGGAAUGGUCAUUGUGAGAUCUAUUUUUUUGCUCAAAUUUAAGAACAAGUCCACACCAUUAGAUCUGUUUUUAAUGAGCUUAGAUGACUGAGAUUAAAACAAAACUUAAACACUUUAUACCGUUCAACAUCAUUAAAAAUAAAUCAAACUUUGGGUGACUUAAUGAUCACCAAAUUUUUUGAAAAUUUGUACAGGUGAUAGACUCAUAUAGUACUACAAAUUGAACGGUAGAGAUGUGAUUUUAUGAUCGGUAAGUUUGUCAAAUACUCUAUCACUAGAUUUGAACAAAAUAAGGGAUCCCUCAAAAUCAUGAGAUGUUGUAAUUUUGUUAUGAGUAUGUGAUAAAUUAGAAACAUGAUCCAUCGCUCCACUGUCUACGAUCUAAUAUAAUGUAGAAUGAGAUCAAUAUGUGUAACAUUGCAAGUGGGUACG